UACGGAGGGUGCAAGCGUUAUCCGGAUUCACUGGGUUUAAAGGGUGCGUAGGUGGGCAGGUAAGUCCGUGGUGAAAUCUCUGAGCUUAACUCAGAAACUGCCGUGGAUACUAUUUGUCUUGAAUAUUGUGGAGGUGAGCGGAAUAUGUCAUGUAGCGGUGAAAUGCCUAGAUAUGACAUAGAACACCAAUUGCGAAGGCAGCUCACUACACAAUUAUUGACGCUGAGGCACGAAAGCGUGGGGAUCAAACAGG
rnacentral:rRNA from 1 species